rnacentral:lncRNA from 1 species
ACAAUUCAUUUGGAACUUAAACCAUAAACCACAAUUCUGUAAAAAGCUACUGUCUAAGUUGUUCAAAACUGAAAUUAAACAGUGCCAAAAUAUUCUACACGUUGAGACAAUUCCAGAAAGGUGUGGAUCACAAUUUUUGGACAACCGGUUUGAAAGAUAUGAGGCAUUGAAAUUACAGGGGCUUUUCUGCAAAAUCGCAUUAUUUAAUUCGUCCGAAUUAAAAAAAAGAAAUAAAAUAAAAAGAUUCCGCCACGUGGCAGCAUGCGAUUGGCCGGCACUUACGGUUCCAGCAAGCG